GCCGAGGGGGUUCCAUUCGAGGUCUAGUUCCUGCUUUUCCGGGUCGUGAAGUUGUGGCUGAUUGUUUGAGCCGGUGGCUGGAUUGUGAGUUAAUAAACUGUCUUCAGGACUGGCAUCUGUGCUUUCUACGACUGACUGCUUUUAGGGGGGUUUUGCCAUUAUUCACGCUACGACACGAGGUCUGAUGUUUGUCAGAUGACAGCAGGUUCACACUAAGCAUGUGGCAGAUGUGAAGGAGUCUGAAGAUGCCAUAAUGACCAUUUUUCUGCCAGCAUAUCCAGUUUGACGGUUUCAUGCUUUUUCCAGAAUGACUGGCAACACAGUAACACACCCUGAAGAGGACACUAAUCUAUCACAGGACACAGUGCGAAGAAUCAAGAUGGCGGCCCCCUGCUGCUAGACUAAGAGAUAACGUUGCGUUCCUGCGGAAAAUAUUUAAAACUACAGUAACUACUUGGAAUCACCCACUCAACGCCCUGGAAUCCCUUGAAGAAUUCAUCGACCAUUACUACAACAACACUGUCAUCAUGAACAAGGACAAGAAGGAAGAUAAAGUCAAAGGUAAACAGCUCCAAACCCCCACCGGCAAAUGACCACGACCGCCCAGCUCACCGGGAGACACACAAGAACCACCUUCAUCACCCUGCUGCACAGAGGUCUGUCCUAUCCUGCUCUCUAUUAACAGCAAACUAUCUGCACUUGAUGCUAGAAUCUCUCUAGUUGAAAUACUGCAUAAAGAAUUCCAAGCCCUCCGCGAAAGUUUGGAAUUCAGCCAAGAACAAAUCAUAACAAUAACCAAAGAGAACAAAACGCUACAGCAUUCCGUCAGUGAACUCACAACCCAAAUUUCAACAGUUAUGAACGAAAACAAACAAAUGAAAGAAACAAUAUUGGACUUACAAGCACGCAGUAUGAGAGACAACACUGUCUUCUCUGGAAUCCCCGAGCACACACAGGAAAACCCCGAAGAUCUCUUGAAGGACUUUAUGACCACGAAACUCAAAAUCGCACCGGAGCUGGUUUCAUCCAUCACAUUCCAUCGCACACACCGUUUAGGAGAAAAAAAACUGCCAAACAAGCGACCACGACUCAUUGUAGCAAAGGUCGAACAUUAUAAGCACAAAGAACUUAUCAUGGGAAAGGGAAGGGAGCUCCGAGGAACAGACUUCGGGAUUAAUGACCAAUACCCGCGUGAAAUUCUAGACAGACAGCGAAAACUCUUUACCAUCAGGAAAGAAUUCAGAAUAAAAGGAAAAAAAGCAGUAA